UACGUAGGGUGCAAGCGUUGUCCGGAAUUAUUGGGCGUAAAGAGCUCGUAGGCGGUCUGUCGCGUCGGCUGUGAAAACUCGGGGCUCAACUCCGAGCUUGCAGUCGAUACGGGCAGGCUAGAGUUCGGCAGGGGAGACUGGAAUUCCUGGUGUAGCGGUGAAAUGCGCAGAUAUCAGGAGGAACACCGGUGGCGAAGGCAGGUCACUGGGCCGCAACUGACGCUGAGGAGCGAAAGCAUGGGGAGCGAACAGG
rnacentral:rRNA from 1 species